rnacentral:lncRNA from 1 species
UAGAAUGCUAGAUGCAAAAUAGGUACAGCCAUUGCUAUAAUUUGACAUGAAAAAGUGAUUUUUGAUGCUAAAAUAAAAUUUGAACUACAAUGCUAGAUAACGAUUUGGAGAAAAUGCAGUAUCUGAAGGCAGUGAUCAAAGAAACUCUUCGUCUGCACCCUCUAAUACCCUUGUUGGUUCCCAGAGCAGCGCAUGAAGAUGUGAAAUUAAACGCUAUGACAUUGCUGCUGGAACAAUGGUUAUAACUAAUGCCUGGCCUAUUGGAAGAGACCCUGCAACAUGGAAGGAACCAGAAAAGUUUCAGCCUGCAGAGAGGUUCUUGAAUUCCUCUAUCGAUUUUAAAGGACAAGAUUUUCAGUUGAUUCCUGCCCCAUAAUUUCUUUUGCCAUGGCUACCAAUGAAUUUCUUUCUGUUGGCAAAUCUUUUGCAUAAAUUUGACUGGAAGUUGCCUGACGGAAGAAAUGGGGAGGAUUUAGACAUGAGUGAAAGACCCCGUGCAGCGAAAAGUUCCACUUCAACUUCAUGUUGCUGCCAGUGUACCUGAAAAAAUCAAGACUAUUAGAUGAUGGUGUUGAAUUUUUAUAAAGAAGAUAGCAUCUUCACCAUUAAAAUACAUGUCUUCUGAAUUAUUGUGCUUAUCUGAUAUGUGUGAUUUCGAUAGAAUGGUGUCAGCUAAGCCAAAAUAAGUUCAGACUUCUAAAUUGUCAUCUUUUUCUUAUUUCAGACUAGGAAACCAUACACCUUUUUUCAAAGUCAAGGCCGCUGAUUAGGAAAACAAGAGAGUAAUUAUGUGCCACUAAUUGGUGAUAAGAUGUAACUUCAAACUUCUCACUCUAUUCAUCCACUAACACAUACAGAUAACAGAAAAGAAGGAAACAUAAUGGUUUUCAUACAAGGAGAAGCAAGAUUGUUGUUGCAAGACCUUAUGGUUGCUCUUAUACCAAUAAUCGCCUUCCUCUUAUUCAUCAAAUGGGUUUUUCUUAAUGCCCCAUUGAGCAAAAACAAGUUGCCACCGUCACCAUCAAAACUCCCAGUGCUAGGAAACUUCCAUCAACUAGGACUGCCUCGAGCUUUGGCUCAAAAACAUGGUCCCAUUAUGCUUCUUCACUUUGGCAGUGUGCCUACUCUUGUACUUUCCUCUGCGGAUGCAGCCCGUGAAGUCAUGAAAGUCCCACGUCGAUUGUGAGAGGGGCAGAAAAUUAGAAUAUAAGAAGCUAGAAUAACUCCAAAAAUUAUCUUGUGGAGUUGUGAACAUCUAAAUUCGGGGAAAUAACAUUUUUUAACAAUGUAAACUCAGGAAAAUUUGAUCCAUGUUAAAAUUUGGCACAAUGAUGGAUCAGACUUUCGUUUCAUGUAAUACUCGGGAAAAAUAUUAAACAUAUUUUUGAUGAAUUUUCUUCCUUGUGGGGCCUUGGUGUUUCGUUCAAUUGUUAUCGAACUUGAGUUUCAAUAAUUCAGGAAACAAAUUCCAAUAAGUGGGCAACUGUUUAACUUAUUUACCCACCAGCUAUGAGUUGAUACAAUUGGAAUUAGUAUGUGGUGCAGAAGUGGCCACGAAUUUUCAAAUAUUAUUUUAUUAUAAUUUAUAGUUAUAAUAUAUGUUUUAAUAAUUUUAAAAAAGGAUAUAACAUAAUUGUUGAGAUUUUUUAUAUUUAUUUAUAAUUUUUUAAAAAUAUUAUAGAAAUAAAUAUUAAUUUGUUGUUCAUAAAUAUUGGAACUUGAUUUUUUUAUGAUUUUUUUAACUGUAUAUCUCAUGAUUUUCAUCGAUUGAGUUUAUCAAAUUAAGGUUAUACAAACAAUAAUUAUGUCCGGAUACUAUAUUUUGAUAUAGAUUAGAAUGUCCGACAACCGCUUAGACAAAAACUACUCCCUCUUGAAAUGGGUUAAUUAUCUAGUUGGUCACUGAAAUGGGCUUAAUGUAUCAAGUUGGUCACUGAACUGAAAACGGUAUCAAGAUGGUCACUAAAAUCACCAUAAAUGUCAAACAAGUACCUUGAAAUAUGAGUUCAGGCAAUAAAAAUAUUAUUUAUAGAGUUUUACACAUCACUUUUAAAUGUUACCACAACCAACUAAAAUGUUAUUACUUCUAGUAUUUAUAAUAACAUAUUUAGAUUUUAUCAAGUUUAUCUAUUAUUUAUUUUUUAUUAUAUAGUUAUUUUCUUUGUUUUAAUUAAAAAUAAAACAUAAAUAAACUUGAAAAAAAAUCUAAAUAGAUUAUCAUAAAUACUAGAAGUCAUAACCUUUUAGUUGGUUGUGGUAACAUUUAAAAAUGAUGAGUAAAACUCUAUAAAUAAUAUUUUUAUUGCUUGAACUCAUAUUUCAAGGUACUUGUUUAAUAUUUAUGGUGACAUUAGUGACCAUUUUGAUACCGUUUUCAGUUGAGUAAUCAACUUGAUACAUUAAACCCACUUCAAUGACCAACUUGAUAAUUAACCCGUUUUGAAAUAUAAGUCGUUUGACUUUUUGGCAUACACUUCUAAGUCCCUUGACCGCAUAGUUGAAAUCAUUAUUUUUAAAAUUUUCUUUUUUUUGAAUAAAAAUAUAUGAUUAAUAUUAUAAUUCACACCAAGAAAAUUUUAGAAAUAAUGAUUUUUGCUAUGCGGUCAAAAAAGAAAGUGUGUGCCAAAAAGUCAAGCGACUUAUAUCUCAAAACAGAGGGAGUAUUGAAUUAAAUCUAGCAUCAAAAUAUGGGUUAUAGCAAAGAACAUUGCCCAACUUUUUUAGGAAUAAAAUUAACGUUAUUAAUAUCAGCAUUUGUAAUCCUGAAUCCCUGAUAAAUAAUUGAUACAAUAAUUUUGAGGGGAUUUUCUGUCAAAAAAACAUGAUUGGAGAAUCAUUUUGUCAAGGAUCUAAGUUCCUAUUCUUUCUGCCUAACAUAAGUUGGCACAAACAUUUUGUCAAGGAUCUAACUUCCUAUUCUUUCUGCCUAACAUAAGUUGGCACAAAAUUUGUCUUCACUCUUGAGGUCACUGACUUUGAUUCUCUGGACACGCCGGGAAUAAGUGGGCUACCAAUCUCGGAAUAUGAGUUUGCAAGUAUGCCCAAACUGACUCGGAAUAAAUAUUCAUCUCUCCCAGCUCUCAUAGGCAAUUUUAUCUUCCAUCUCCCAUCCUUCUGAGAUUUUUCUCAGCCAAGUACCAGCAAUGAAGAUGAUGGAGCAAUAUAGCUCAAUCCCAUAUUUCCUUACAUUUUUUUCUGUCACAAUUUUUCUCUACAAAUGGUUAACAAGAAAAACAGCCUCAGAAAAUCUUCCACCUUGUCCACCAAAACUUCCUAUAAUAGGAAACCUUCAUCAAAUUGGUCCAGUCCUGCACAUUUCACUGCGAUCCUUGGCUCAAAAAUGUGGUCCAUUGAUGCUACUUAACUUCGGAAGGGUGCCUUUUCUGGUUGUUUCUUCAGCUGAUGCAGCUCGAGAGAUCAUGAAAACCCAUGAUCUGGCUUUCUCAGACAGACCUACUUCAAGCGUGUCCAGAAGAAUUUUCUAUAAUGGUAGAGACGUGGGAUUUUCGUGUUAUAGUGAGUAUUGGAGACAGGUAAAGAGUACAUGUGUUACUCAGCUCCUGAGUAGGAAAAGAGUUCAUUUAUUUCAGAAUGUCAGAGACGAAGAAAUAGCCAUUAUGAUCCAAAAUGUCAGAGAUUCUCACUCAGAAAUAGUAAAUUUAAGCGAAUUAUUUUUUGGACUAACGGAUAAUGUAGUGUGCAGGGCUGCGCUAGGGAAGAAAUUUGGAAGGGGCGAAGGGGAUUCUCAUAUUAGCCUGCUCUCGGAAAUAACUGAGCUUUUAGCUCAUUUCAGCAGCAUAGGAGAUUAUAUUCCAUUGCUUUAUUGGGUUGAUUGGCUCAGAGGUUUGAAGGGGAAGGUGAAUAAAGUAGCCCUCGAGGUUGAUGCUUUUCUGGAACGCGUUGUUAGAGAUCAUCAGAGUACUAUUGCUUCGGAUAAUGCUUCUACAAACAAGGACUUUGUAUCCAUUUUGCUUGAGAUUCAGACGCAGGAAAAAGAUACAGGCUUUUCUAUUGAUAAGGAUUGUACUAAAGCUAUUAUCUUGGUAAGUAACAAAACUUCUCCCUUCAGAAAAACUGAUCAUCUGUUAGUUAAUUUCUACACUCCUUUGCACAUAAAUGGUCAUCAGGGAUUUGAUGAGCUAGAAUUGUAACAGAUGAAAAGAAAAUUAAUUAUUCUGUCUUUUACUCAGAAAUCAGAAUUGCUUCAAUCAUUUACCUGUUGCAUACUUCUUGCAGGAUAUGCUUUUCGCUGGAAUUGAAACAACAGCAACAACUUUAGAGUGGACAAUGGCAGCCCUGAUAAAGAAUCCGGAUAUCAUGUUUAAAUUGAAGAAUGAGGUCCGAGAAGUAGGCAAAGGCAAAGCAGAAAUAGAGGACUGUGAUUUAGUCAAGAUGGACUAUCUGAAAGCAGUACUGAAAGAGAGCAUGAGACUUCACAUGACAGGUCCACUGAUACUUCCUAGAGAAGCAAGGCAGGACGUAAACGUGAUGGGGUAUGACAUUAAAGCCGGGACACGAGUACUCAUCAAUGCCUGGGCAAUUGCAACAGACCCUUCUGUGUGGGACAAGCCAGAAGAGUUUCGGCCUGAGAGGUUCUUGAAUAGUCCUAUCGACUACAAAGGCCUUCACUUCGAGUAUCUUCCCUUUGGAAGUGGGCGGAGGGCUUGCCCUGGGAACCAUUUUGCAACAGCCAUUAUUGAACUUGCAAUAGCAAAUAUAGUUCAAAAGUUUGAUUUUGAAUUGCCUGAUGGAGCAAGACUGGAGGAUUUGGACAUGACUGCUGUCACGAACAUCAAUAUUCGAAAGAAAUCUCCUCUCUUGGUGAUUGCCACACCACAUGUUUAAUCACUCAAAAUCUCCUGCUCAAGACUGCACAAUAACAAUAGGGAAUGAAAAUUUGGAGAAAUUUUCUCUGUUUUAAUGUCAAAAUCAGCAUCUCUUUUCUCAAAAUCUAUGUAUUCCUCGACAAGAGAUCAGAUAUCACCUUCACCAUUCAAAUCUGCAAAAUCAUGAACUCUGUAGUUUUGGAAUUAUUGUGCUUAUAUGAUACGUUUGAUGCUGAUAGAAUUGUUUCAGCUCAGCAAAAAAAAAAAAACUAUUGUGCAUAGAGUUACCAACACUAUUGCUGUCAUAUCAAGUAUCUCCCUUCUAGAUUGUCAUAUUUUUCUUAUUUCAGACUUUGAAAUUAUACACUUCAAAGUUUUCAAAGUCAAUGGCCCUUAUGAAAGGGAAUAGAGAGUAAUUCUAAGCCACCAAUGCAAUGAUAAGAUGAAACUUGAAAGCAAUAGUCACUCUUCUCAUCAUUUAUUUAUAAACAGACUUGCAGUAAUUAACACAUAAGAAAGAAAGAAAUAUAAUGGUUUUCAUACAAGGAGAAGCAAGAAUGUUGUUGCAAGACCUUGUGGUUGCUCUUAUACCAAUAAUCGCCUCGCUCUUAUUCAUCAAAUGGUUAUUUUUCAGUGCCCCAGUGAACAGAAAAAACUUGCCACCUUCACCAUCAAGACUCCCAGUAUUAGGAAACUUCCAUCAGCUAGGACUGCUUCCUCACCGUAAUCUUCAAUCCUUGGCUCAGAAACAUGGUCCAAUGAUGCUUCUUCACUUUGGAAGUGUGCCUACUCUUGUACUUUCCUCUGCGGAUGCAGCCCGUGAAGUCAUGAAAGUCCAGGACCUAAAAUUUUGUGACAGGCCUUCAUCAAGUCUUUUGAGGCGUCUGCUGUAUGACGGGAAGGAUAUAUCCGUGGCACCUUAUGGAGAGUACUGGAGGCAGCUAAAAAGCAUCAUCGUUCUGCAGCUUUUGAGCAACAAAAGGGUGCAGUCAUUUCGUAGACUAAGAGAAGAAGAAACUGCCCUUAUGGUGAACAAGAUUAGAGACUUGUCCUCUUCUUCACUGUCCGUGGAUUUAAGCGAGUUGUUUGUGACACUAAGUAAUGAUGUGUCCUGUAGGUCUGCGUUUGGGAAGAAGUAUAGUGAAGACGGAAGUGGGAGGGAAUUUAAGAAGCUUUUAAAGGAGUUUCUGGAGUUAUUAGGUAGUUAUAGUUUUGCGGAUUUUGUUCCAUGGCUUAGAUGGGUAGAUCGAAUAAGUGGUUUGGAUGGCAAAGUGGACAGAGUUUUCAAAAAUCUUGAUAAGUUCCUCCAAGGAGUUGUUCAAGAACACUUGGAUAAACAAGCAAAUCAGCUUGAAGAUAAGGAAAACUUUGUUGAUAUCUUGCUCAGGAUUCAAAAUGAAACUAUUCAUGGGAUAUCUAUUGAAAAUGAUAAUAUCAAGGCAAUCCUCUUGGUAAAUACUUAUUGAAGAUACUUCUCUUUUCUUCUAUAAAGUACACGUUUGCUCUUCCUAAUAUUUUCUGAUUUUUGUUGUAGGAUGUAUAUGCUGCUGGAACUGAUACCACCUCUACGGUCCUUGAAUGGGCAAUGUCUGAACUCUUGAGAAACCCGUAUGUCAUGAAUACAGUACAAAAGGAGAUCAGAGAUAUUCUUGGUUGCAAACCUGAUAUAGAAGAAAACGAUUUGGAGAAAAUGCAGUAUCUGAAGGCAGUGAUCAAAGAAACUCUUCGUCUGCACCCUCCAAUACCCUUGUUGGUUCCCAGAUCAGCACGUGAAGAUGUGAAAUUAAACGGCUAUGACAUUGCUGCUGGAACCAUGGUUAUAACUAAUGCCUGGGCUAUUGGAAGAGACCCUGCAACAUGGAACGAACCGGAAAAGUUUCAGCCAGAGAGGUUCUUGAAUUCCUCUAUUGAUUUUAAAGGACAAGAUUUUCAGUUGAUUCCCUUUGGAGCUGGCAGAAGAGCCUGUCCCGGAAUUUCUUUUGCCAUGGCUACUAAUGAAUUUGUGCUGGCAAAUCUCCUGCAUAAAUUUGACUGGAAGUUGCCUGACGGAAGAAAUGGGGAGGAUUUAGACAUGAGUGAAAGACCCAGUGCUUCGGUUAAAAGAAAAAUUCCACUUCUUGCUGUUGCAACUUCAUGUUGCUGCUAGUGUACCUGCAAAAAAUCAAGACUUUAAGAUGAUGGUGUUAAAUUUUUAUAAAGAUAGCAACUUCACCAUUAAAAUACAUGUCUUCUAAAUUAGAGUAAAUUGCAAGGGUGUGGCCGAAGUUUACACCGAUAUUGAAGCAAAAAAAUAUUUGCAUAGAGGAACUCCCCUGUAUCUCUGUUGAGGUCUGGCCACGUUUUUGUAGUUUUUAAAAUUCAGCCACAAACUUGCAAAUCGGUGUAAACCUCAGCCACACCCUUGAAAUUUACUCUCUAAAUUAUUGUGCUUUAUUUGAUGUGUGAUUUUUAUAGUAUGAAUAGCUGUCAUCACAAGUACCUAACUUCUAAAUUAGGAAAAUAAGAGAGUAAUUCUGUGCCACUAUUAGGUGAUAAGAUGUAACUUCAAAUUUCUCACUCUGAUCAUCCACUAACACACACAGAUAACAGAAAAGAAGAAAAAAUAAUGGUUUUCAUACCAGGAGAAUCAAGAUUGUUGUUGCAAGACCUUAUGGUUGCUCUUAUACCAAUAAUCGUGUUACUCUUCUUCAUCAAAUGGGGUUUUUUUAACGCCCCAUUGAGCAAAAAGAAGUUGCCACCGUCACCAUCAAGACUCCCAGUAUUAGGAAACUUUCAUCAGCUUGGACUGCUUCCUCACCGCAAUCUGCGAUCUUUGGCUCAAAAACAUGGUCCGAUCAUGCUUCUUCACUUUGGCAGUGUGCCUACUCUUGUACUCUCUACUGCAGAUGCAGCCCGUGAAGUCAUGAAAGUUCAGGACCUAUUGUUCUGUGAC